ensembl:lncRNA
AUGUCACAGCAAAUGCCGGCGCAGGGUGCCAGGGCCACAUCCACAGAGCAGGAAAAGCUGCAGCAGAGGUGCCAGCUGUUGCACUCUCAUCAGCGGGUAUCUUGGCCUGGCUGGGCACAGUCUCCACUGCACUCCAUGUUAUCACAGGCCAUAUCUGAAGGCAGGAGGACAUUGGCGGUCUCCAAGGCUCCUAUCACCCGCCACAUUAUCUCCAGUAGAGUGAGGGUAGAUGGGCUGCCACAUAAACCAUCCCGUCUCUCUAUCUGUCUGUCUGUUUGUCUCAUUCUCUUUCUCUCUUUCUCGCUCCAUCUUUAGCUCAUUAGUAUUAAGGAAAUGAAAGAUCCCUAAAGCUGGCAGCAGCUGUAGUGAAAAAUGAGGCCCACUCAGCCACCAAUAUCUCAUUUAGCACUUUAAUGUGCUCAUACAGUAAAGUGGAGACAAUGUCAAGCUUUAGAUUCUGACAGAACUUGACUAUAUGUUCUUCAUUAGCUUCUUGACAGUGAUGGAUGGGUUUUUUACACUCGUGUAUGUUUUUUUAGAACUAAAAUAAAAAUAAAUGAAAUAAAAACCAAACUUUUAUGCUUCUUUUUUCCAGCUAAAUACUCUCUUUUCUUAAUCCAUGAAUUUGAAAUCUGUAGGCUAUACCUGUGUCCCUAAUAUACACUACUGUUGAAAAUGUUUUUUAAAAGAAGUCUCACCAAGGCUGCUUUUAUUUGGUCAAAACAAAGUAUAAAUAAUAUUCUGAAAUAUAAUUACAAUUUAAAAUACCUUUUUCUAUUGUAUUCACUUUUAAAAUGUAAAUUAUUUCUGUAAUGGUAAAGCAGAAUUUUUGGGAGAUGUUACUUUUAGACAUUUUGUCACUUUUAGAAAUCAUGACAGAAUUUUCAUUCUUGGCCCGAACUAUUCCUUCAAAACAUUUUUAAUUACUCUGAAAAACAUCUCUAUUUAAAAGCCAAUUAGCAUGCUAACGGAUUAGCAUACUUGAUUAGCAUGCAUACAGAAAGAGUGUCACUCGUUGCUGUUUUGGCCAGUGUUCAAACCAGGACUGUCCAUUCAUUUGAGUGCAGACAGCGGUUUGUCAUUUGCAAGUACAAGGUGUUGACAGAAAAUCAGGCCGCUUUCAAUUAUCAGCCAAGCUCUUCAGUGACCGGCGCCAAGUCCAGACAUACAGAGACACUGCUGGACCAGGCUUGUCUGACAUAACACAGCUGUGCGUCUGAAAAGCUGACAGCUGUGUGUGAGCGUGUAUGAAUUUGUGAGUGUGUAUGUGUUUCCUUGAACCGCAGUUCUUUAUAUGUCACAUCAUCCAUUAGCAGUGGCAGAAGAAUAUGUGAGUGAGUGAGAGUGUGUGGGAUAUUUAUAAAAGAACAGAUUUUAUGUGACGGUAAAUGCGUAUUGCUUAAACGAUCUGAAAGAAUAAGGCAAUAAUAAUCUCUGCUGUGGCUCUAAAUGUCUCAUUUAUGACUAUAAAAACGUGUGUGGUGUACUGCAGGGACCAGUACACCAGAGCGGGAUCAGAUAAUUGGCUAAACUGAUGCCUGCAUUUUGCCAGUUUUCGAGGGGUCAUAGAUUCCUCUGGGCCUCCACCCAUCAACCGCAUUUGGAUCCCCAGUGCAGCUGUAGCAUAUUAGAAAGGUGCCAUCAAUGCUAAUUUAUGCUGAUUCAACUAAAAGCCCCUAUGCUACAGCACCCUGUGCUUCAGAACCCCCCCAAAAUAUAUAAUCCUGAUUAUAAAAACCUCACAUAUGCUUUCUCUGUGCAAGACUAGCACACGGUUUCUUUGACCCCUUCCUUUGGCAGUUCGUACACUUGCACCGUAGUCACGCUCUCAUGCAGUCAAGCAUGCAGCCGUCAGCACAACAAUCUGACUUAUUUAUUUAUUUCGCAGUGCAGAUAUUUAUUAAUUUGUUUUCAUUUGCACUCUGGUUAGAUUAAGUCUAAUACAGCCCCUCAGGAAGGCACUGCUCUAUUUGGCCCAUGUAAAUCUCAUCAGCUAUUCAGGCCCAUCCCUAAUAUGCUUAGACAGCUGAGAAACAUGUAUUAUUCAUAACUCUGGAUUUUUUCAUAUAACCAUGGUGCCGCUCCCCAGGAUGAGGUAGCGUUGUGGCAAUAUCAGAGGUUCAUCCAUAUUCUACAAAUAAUGAGAUGGCUUGUAUGGUUUAUGAAAUGUAAUCCAUCAUUAUUACAAAACCAUCAAAUCUUCUGCAUUACUUAUAUUAUUCAAUAGAUUUGGGGGUAUUUGCUUGUUAUGUGAAAUUAAGAUUAUAGCUUGCUCUGGAAAAUGACAUCUUUUAGCUGCCCUGUCUAUUUUGCUGUUGUUUAAAUUUCAUAUUGUAUUCAUAUUGUAUACUGAAUGAUGAC